GAUGAACGCUGGCGGCGUGCCUAAUACAUGCAAGUCGAGCGAACAGACGAGGAGCUUGCUCCUCUGACGUUAGCGGCGGACGGGUGAGUAACACGUGGAUAACCUACCUAUAAGACUGGGAUAACUUCGGGAAACCGGAGCUAAUACCGGAUAAUAUAUUGAACCGCAUGGUUCAAUAGUGAAAGACGGUUUUGCUGUCACUUAUAGAUGGAUCCGCGCCGCAUUAGCUAGUUGGUAAGGUAACGGCUUACCAAGGCAACGAUGCGUAGCCGACCUGAGAGGGUGAUCGGCCACACUGGAACUAAGACACGGUCCAGACUCCUACGGGAGGCAGCAGUAGGGAAUCUUCCGCAAUGGGCGAAAGCUUGACGGAGCAACGCCGCGUGAGUGAUGAAGGUCUUCGGAUCGUAAAACUCUGUUAUUAGGGAAGAACAAAUGUGUAAGUAACUAUGCACGUCUUGACGGUACCUAAUCAGAAAGCCACGGCUAACUACGUG
rnacentral:rRNA from 1 species